UACGUAGGGACCGAGCGUUGUCCGGAUUCAUUGGGCGUAAAGAGCUCGUAGGCGGCUGUUCAAGUCGAACGUGAAAACUCGGAGCUCAACUCCGAGCCUGCGUUCGAUACUGCCCGACUAGAGGUAGGUAGGGGAGAUCGGAAUUCCUGGUGUAGCGGUGAAAUGCGCAGAUAUCAGGAGGAACACCGGUGGCGAAGGCGGAUCUCUGGGCCUUACCUGACGCUGAGGCGCGAAAGCUAGGGGAGCAAACAGG
rnacentral:rRNA from 1 species